rnacentral:rRNA from 1 species
ACGCUCGACACCUACGGGAAGCAGCAGUGGGGAAUAUUGCACAAUGGGGGAAACCCUGAUGCAGCGACGCCGCGUGGAGGAAGAAGGUCUUCGGAUUGUAAACUCCUGUUGUUGGGGAAAAAGAGGAUGGUACCCAACAAGGAAGUGACGGCUAACUACGUGCCAGCAGCCUCGGUAAUCUGAGCGGGCUGGCAAGGC